AGUAGCGGUGAAAUGCGUAGAUAUCUGGAGGAAUACCAAAGGCGAAGGCAGUCCCCUGGUCCGAUACUGACACUGAGGUACGAAAGCGUGGGGAGCAAACAGGAUUAGAUACCCUGGUAGUCCACGCCCUAAACGAUGUCGAUUAGCCAUUGGAAGGACCCCUUUUCCUUUCAGUGACGUAGCUAACGCGUUAAAUCGACCGCCUGGGAAGUACGACCGCAAGGUUAAAACUCAAAGGAAUUGACGGGGACCUGAACAAGCGGUGAAUGAUGUGGAUUAAUUCGAUGCUACGCGAAGAACCUUACCUACCUUUGACAUGGCCAAAGUUCUACCGAGAGGCGGAAGUACUCGUAAGAGGAUUGGCGCACAGGUGCUGCAUGGUUGUCGUCAGUUCGUGUCGUGAGAUGUUGGGUUCAGUCCCGCAACGAACGCAACCCUUAUCUUUAAUUGCUCCUAUUUUAACAGGCACUUUAAAGAAACUGCCAAUGAUAAGUUGGAGGAAGGUGGGGAUCACGUCAAGUCCGCAUGGCCUUUAUAGGUAGGGCUUCACACGUCAUACAAUGGUUAGAACAAAGAGCUGCAAAUUCGUAAGAAGGAGCCAAUCUCACAAACCUAACCUCAGUUCGAAUUGCGGUCUGCAACUCGAGCGCAUGAAGCCGGAAUCGCUCGUAAUCGUGGAUCAGAAUGCCU
rnacentral:rRNA from 1 species